rnacentral:rRNA from 1 species
GACGAACGCUGGCGGCGUGCUUAACACAUGCAAGUCGAACGGAAAGGCCCUGCUUUUGUGGGGUGCUCGAGUGGCGAACGGGUGAGUAACACGUGAGUAACCUGCCCUUGACUUUGGGAUAACUUCAGGAAACUGGGGCUAAUACCGGAUAGGAGCUCCUGCUGCAUGGCGGGGGUUGGAAAGUUUCGGCGGUUGGGGAUGGACUCGCGGCUUAUCAGCUUGUUGGUGGGGUAGUGGCUUACCAAGGCUUUGACGGGUAGCCGGCCUGAGAGGGUGACCGGCCACAUUGGGACUGAGAGACGGCCCAGACUCCUACGGGAGGCAGCAGUGGGGAAUAUUGCACAAUGGGCGGAAGCCUGAUGCAGCAACGCCGCGUGCGGGAUGACGGCCUUCGGGUUGUAAACCGCUUUCGCCUGUGACGAAGCGUGAGUGACGGUAAUGGGUAAAGAAGCACCGGCUAACUACGUG